rnacentral:rRNA from 1 species
GGUGUUUACUGUCGAACUGAACACUCUACCGUUUACUGUCUGGUGGUGCUCUUCACCGAGUGUCACCAGUGGUCGGUACGUUUACUUUGAAAAAAUUAGAGUGCUCAAAGCGGUUUUUACACGACCGAAUACUGUUGCAUGGAAUAAUGAAAUAGGACUUUGGGUUCUAUUUUGUUGGUCUUCGGGAACCAAGGUAAUGAUUAAGAGGGACAGACGGGGGCAUUAGUAUUGCGACGCUAGAGGUGAAAUUCUUGGACCGUCGCAAGACUAACUAAAGCGAAAGCAUUUGCCAAGAAUGUUUUCAUUAAUCAAGAACGAAAGUUAGAGGUUCGAAGGCGAUCAGAUACCGCCCUAGUUCUAACCAUAAACGAUGCCAACCAGCAAUCAGCCUGUGUUCUCUUGAUGACACGGCUGGCGGCUUCCGGGAAACCAAAGUCUUUCGGUUCCAGGGGAAGUAUGGUUGCAAAGCUGAAACUUAAAGGAAUUGACGGAAGGGCACCACCAGGAGUGGAGCCUGCGGCUUAAUUUGACUCAACACGGGGAAACUCACCCGGCCCGGACACUGUGAGGAUUGACAGGUUGAAGCCCUUUCUUGAUUCAGUGGGUGGUGGUGCAUGGCCGUUCUUAGUUGGUGGAGUGAUUUGUCUGGUUAAUUCCGAUAACGAACGAGACUCUAGCCUACUAAUUAGACCGUGGCGUCCUCGUGCCGCCACGGCGCUUCCUAGAGGGACAGACGG